GACAAUCAAGCUCAGUUGGUAGAGCAUGAGACUCUUAAUCCCAGGGUCUUGGGUUCAAGCCCUACGUUGGUCA